GGGGUUUCACCAUGCUGCCCAGGCUGGUCCCGACCUCAGGCGAUCCGCCUGCUGGGAUUACAGGCGUGAGCCAUGGAGCCUGGCCCAGGUGGAGCUUUUAAGAGAGCAUCAGCUGCGGUAGUAUAGGAAGGAUCAGGCAGUGGGCAGGGCCCUAGAGCUCCCAAGAGAUUAUGUGUUUUGGCUUCUGGCUACCAGGGCAAGCAGAGAAAGAUCAUCAGAUGGGGGCAGGGUUAGGUGUGUCUGAGCUCAGACUCUCCUUGGAUGAGGCUUGCUAUGGCUGCUGUGGGGGAUGGAGGCAUGGUUCCCAGGCCAAUGGAGUAAUGUUCCCAGGGGGAUUAUGGCCGCCUCUGCUAUGUCAUGAAGGUUGCCAGGGAAGUGGGGGAAAACCAGCAGUUACAGGCCUCACCCAGGUCCCAUGCAGCCCAAAAGGCGAGUCCCACUCCCACUGUGCACCCGCCAACAGCACUGAGUUCAUUUCCAGGCAGCGGUGAACAGGAAUGAGAACUUGCCUCAGACUACCAGCCUCCUGGCUGAUAAAGCAAGCAGAACUUUCAGGUUUCACACCUCCCCACCUCCCCCAGCUUCUGUGCCAUGUCAGCACACCCAAUUCACCCUCCCCCCUACAAGUUCUGUCCAGGAAUCUUUGCGUUCGGUUGAAACUGUUACAAAGUUCAUUUGAGGUUUCCUUCCCUCUGCGGUCUUUUCCCAGUUCCUCUGGCAGCCCUCCUCAAGGACCUCUGUGAGACAAAGUCAGAAAUGACUUCACUGGAGACCAAGAGAGCCCACAGAGCUCUUCCUGCUGCUUCUUCUACCCUUGUACUCACUCGGCUCUCUAAAUUUGUCUCAGCUCCAGGGACACAAAAUGGGGGAAACAUGUUGUUUCUGCUUCUGCAAGGAACCAGACUGCCAUCUCUAAUGCAUGCAUCACAGGUACCCAGUAGGGGCAGUCAAACAGCAAAAGCUACACAAUGAUGGGCCACGGGAGCAAGG
rnacentral:lncRNA from 10 species